rnacentral:rRNA from 1 species
AGCUAGUUGGUGGGGUAAAAGCUCACCAAGGCGACGAUCUGUAGCGGGUCUGAGAGGAUGAUCCGCCACACUGGAACUGAGACACGGUCCAGACUCCUACGGGAGGCAGCAGUGGGGAAUUUUGGACAAUGGGGGCAACCCUGAUCCAGCCAUGCCGCGUGAGUGAAGAAGGCCUUCGGGUUGUAAAGCUCUUUCGGCCGGGAAGAAAUCGUAUCAGCUAAUACCUGGUGCGGAUGACGGUACCGGCAUAAGAAGCACCGGCUAACUACGUGCCAGCAGCCGCGGUAAUACGUAGGGUGCGAGCGUUAAUCGGAAUUACUGGGCGUAAAGCGUGCGCAGGCGGUUUUGUAAGACAGGCGUGAAAUCCCCGGGCUCAACCUGGGAACUGCGUUUGUGACUGCAAGGCUAGAGUACGGCAGAGGGGGGUGGAAUUCCACGUGUAGCAGUGAAAUGCGUAGAGAUGUGGAGGAGCACCAAUGGCGAAGGCAGCCCCCUGGGUCGAUACUGACGCUCAUGCACGAAAGCGUGGGUAGCAAACAGGAUUAGAUACCCUGGUAGUCCACGCCCUAAACGAUGUCAACUAGGUGUUGGGAGGGUAAAACCUUUUAGUACCGGAGCUAACGCGUGAAGUUGACCGCCUGGGGAGUACGGCCGCAAGGUUAAAACUCAAAGGAAUUGACGGGGACCCGCACAAGCGGUGGAUGAUGUGGAUUAAUUCGAUGCAACGCGAAAAACCUUACCUACCCUUGACAUGUCAGGAACUUUCCAGAGGUGGAUUGGUGCUCGAAAGAGAACCUGAACACAGGUGCUGCAUGGCUGUCGUCAGCUCGUGUCGUGAGAUGUUGGGUUAAGUCCCGCAACGAGCGCAACCCUUGUCGUUAAUUGCCAUCAUUUAGUUGGGCACUUUAGCGAGACUGCCGGUGACAAACCGGAGGAAGGUGGGGAUGACGUCAAGUCCUCAUGGCCCUUAUGGGUAGGGCUUCACACGUCAUACAAUGGUCGGUACAAAGGGUCGCCAACCCGCGAGGGGGAGCUAAUCCCAGAAAGCCGAUCGUAGUCCGGAUUGCAGGCUGCAACUCGCCUGCAUGAAGUCGGAAUCGCUAGUAAUCGUGGAUCAGCAUGUCACGGUGAAUACGUUCCCGGGUCUUGUACACACCGCCCGUCACACCAUGGGAGCGGGUUCCGCCAGAAGUAGGUAGCCUAACCGCAAGGAGGGCGCUUACCACGGCGGGGUUCGUGACUGGGGUGAAGUCGUAACAAGGUAGCCGUAGGGGAACCUGCGGCUG